rfam:Triticum aestivum genome assembly, contig: Triticum_aestivum_CS42_TGACv1_scaffold_018996_1AS
AUUAUACUCUCUCCGUCCGAAAAUACUUGUCAUCAAAAUGGACAAAAACGGAUGUAUCUAAAACUAAAAUACAUCUAGAUACAUCCCCUUUAUCCAUUUUGAUGACAAGUAUUUCCGGACGGAGGGAGUAUAUA